rnacentral:rRNA from 1 species
UACGGGGGGAGCAAGCGUUGUUCGGAUUUACUGGGCGUAAAGGGCGCGUAGGCGGCGCAACAAGUCACUUGUGAAAUCUCCGGGCUUAACCCGGAGCGGCCAAGUGAUACUGUCGUGCUAGAGUGCGGAAGGGGCUACUGGAAUUCUCGGUGUAGCGGUGAAAUGCGUAGAUAUCGAGAGGAACACCUGCGGCGAAGGCGGGUAGCUGGGCCGACACUGACGCUGAGGCGCGAAAGCGUGGGAGCGAACAGG